rnacentral:rRNA from 1 species
CAAUAGCGUAUAUUAAAGUUGUUGCAGUUAAAAAGCUCGUAGUUGGAUCUCGGGUCCAGGCUUGCGGUUCUGCUUGUGCAGAUACUACUUGUCCUGACCUACCUGCCGGUUUUCCCUUGGUGCCCUUGAUUGGGUGUCUCGGGUGGCCGGAACGUUUACUUUGAAAAAAUUAGAGUGUUCAAAGCAGGCAGCUCGCCUGAAUAAUGGUGCAUGGAAUAAUAAGGAAAACGGACCUUCGGUUCUUAUUUUUGUUUGGGUUUUCGGAACUUGAGGUAAUGAUUAAGAGGGACAGGACGGGGGCAUUCGUAUUACGGUGUUAGAGGUGAAAUUCUGGAUCGCCGUAAGACGAACUACUGCGAAAGCAUUUGCC